rnacentral:tRNA from 2 species
GGUAGGAUGGCCGAGAUUAGGCGGUGGGUUGUAGCCCCGAAGACAGAGGUUUAAAUCCUCUUCCUAUCA